CCAAGAUUACAAAUUACCUCUAAUUAUAGUAGGAGCCCAGGGCCCCAGAAACUGCAAAGGCUGACAGCAACACAUUUAUCCAGCAGUGGUGCCACAGUAACAUGUCACAGUGUCCCAAUGUCACAGUGUCACAGAAACCACCUCAUUAAGGCAAAACCCAUCACAGCACAGUGCCAACACACCCACCCACCUGGAGACACUGGUCUGACAUGUUCUGAGCCUCCAGCUUCCCAGAAGGGAUCAGCCCCCUUUCGCCUUUCUCCUCUUCACAUGAAUCCUCACAGCAGCUCCUGCACCCACGAGCGUGGAGCAUUCCAGCAUAAAGAGCUCUGCUUCUGGAGAGCUCAGUCAAGAAACCCAGCUCCAGCUCUCAGGCCAUCCUCACUUCAGAGGCAGAAGGUGGGGAGGAAGCUCAUGUUGCAGCCAUGGCCCUUCUCCAGGAUAUGAGAAAGGGACAGGUUGCUUUUAUGCUGGAGGGAGGGUUUAUUUCUCCAUGAGAAAAAGAAGCUUAUUUCAUGUCCUGUUGAAACACGAGGUCCAGAAAGGCACCAGAUGGCCUCCCAUCCUCCUCCAGAGACCACUAUCUACAGCAUGCCACAACAAAAGCUGCACACUCCAUAAAGCAUGUUUUGGAAAAGUUUAGUGGUCAUUGGCAAAUAAUGAUUGAGUGUAAGCACGCUCCUGGUCCAAAGGAGCCAUCCGAGUCCAGAGCUCCCGUCCUGGCUGUAACCCAGGCUGGGCAGGAAACUAUUCUACAGCCUGUAAAAACACCCAAACAAAACAGGAGGAAAAAACCAAAAAGCCAUUUUUAACAGGAUGGUCUUGGCACGUCACCAACACCAAGACAGGAUGGAAUUGCCCACAACUGGCUUUGCACAGGCAUUGGAAGCAUUUCUCCCUGGGAAUCCCUUUCCUUUCCUCAUAGCUUUCCAAGCUCAGGCUUGACAAACCAGAACAGACAGCUCUGAAAAUACACAUCCUCCUUUGCAGCUGUGGGUCAGGGAUGGAAACCAGAGCCAGGAUCAUGCUCCACAAACAGCUGAUGGGGCAGGGCUCAUGGUGGGUUUAAAACACAAAACAAAGCAGAUCAACCUCUGCUCUGUCCAUCCAUGCACUGUUAGGCACAUCUCUUCUCUUCCCUUGGCAGGUCCAGGAGUAAAGUCUUUCACUUUGAAACCUCAAGCUCAUUCCUGCAGCCCUGCACAGGGAACUGGAUAACAGCACAUGCACAUCUCCUCAGCCUCUUGAGUCUUAAAUUUUAAUCUUUGAUUUUUGAAAUAAGUUACUGUUUUAUCUUCUUUGAUGAGCAUUAGUCCCCUCUUAACCCAUUCAAACACAAUUUAGCUAAUUAGUCAGAGGUUAGCAUAUGUAAGCACACACCACUGGUGAAGCAAAGGACUGCAGGAAGAGCUGCUGUGUUCUGUAUGCCUUUGUGGCUGCUGCUCUC
rnacentral:lncRNA from 1 species